rfam:Oryza sativa Japonica Group DNA, chromosome 2, cultivar: Nipponbare, complete sequence.
AAUAAAUGCAGUUUUGCACUAUUCACGUUCAACGUUUGACCGUUCGUCUUAUUUGAAAUUUUUUUAUGAUUAGUAUUUUUAUUGCUAUUAGAUGAUAAAACAUAAAUAGUACUUUAUGUGUGACUAAAUAUUUUCAAAAUUUUCAAAUAAGACGGACGGUCAAAUGUUGGGCACGGAUAUCCACGGCUGCACUUAUU